rnacentral:rRNA from 1 species
GGGAGGCAGCAGUGGGGAAUCUUGCACAAUGGGCGAAAGCCUGAUGCAGCCAUGCCGCGUGAAUGAUGAAGGCCUUAGGGUUGUAAAAUUCUUUCGCUAGGGAUGAUAAUGACAGUACCUAGUAAAGAAGCCCCGGCUAACUUCGUGCCAGCAGCCGCGGUAAUACGAAGGGGGCUAGCGUUGUUCGGAAUUACUGGGCGUAAAGCGCACGUAGGCGGACUUUUAAGUCAGAUGUGAAAUCCCGGGGCUCAACCUCGGAACUGCAUUUGAAACUGGAAGUCUAGAGACCAGGAGAGGUUAGCGGAAUACCGAGUGUAGAGGUGAAAUUCGUAGAUAUUCGGUGGAACACCAGUGGCGAAGGCGGCUAACUGGACUGGUACUGACGCUGAGGUGCGAAAGUGUGGGGAGCAAACAGGAUUAGAUACCCUGGUAGUCCACACCGUAAACGAUGAGAGCUAGUUGUUGGCAGGCAUGCCUGUCGGUGACGCAGCUAACGCAUUAAGCUCUCCGCCUGGGGAGUACGGUCGCAAGAUUAAAACUCAAAGAAAUUGACGGGGACCCGCACAAAAGGG